rnacentral:lncRNA from 1 species
CAUUCUACCACCCAAGCGUCAGAGACUCCCUGGACUCAUUGAAACCUGAGGAUAUGUGCCUGGAUGGGAAGAAAGGCUCCUUACAUGACACAAAUGCUUUGGCUCUUCAAUCAAGACUAUACCAGAAACCCUAAGAAUCUCCUAACAGCCUGGACAAGCACCUCGGCUCCUCCCACCCUCAGGAGGAAUCUCAGCAGCUGGUUCUAGCUAGGGCCAGCAGAGCUCUGCCUGUUCUCAGCUGUCAGCUGGGCAGUGAACAACUGACCCAGACCUGCCCAGGCCUGGCCAGUAUGGGUGGAAUCUUCAUGGUCAGAAACUGGGAGGGAGUAGUAUCAUGUAGCUGUUAGGAAUUUGGGAGACCUGAAUUCAACUCUGUCUCCAGGGUGACCUAAGACUAAUUAUUUAGUGUUUGUGUCUUUGUUUCCUCACAUGUAAAACUAUACUUACAAUUACUAAAAUUUGGAGAGACUCGCCUGUGGCUCCACCCACUCAUCCACCGCCAACCGGGCCCCAGCACCUGCCAGCAAGGAAGAACCACGCAGCAGCAACCGACCUAGCUACUAAAUACCCCAAGGCUUGUGACCUCAGAGAUUCCUGGGCUAAA